rnacentral:rRNA from 1 species
CCUACGGGAGGCAGCAGUAGGGAAUUUUCGUCAAUGGGCGCAAGCCUGAACGAGCAAUGCCGCGUGAACGAGGAAGGUCUUCGGAUCGUAAAGUUCUGUUGAAGGGGAAAAAGAGCGGAGAGAGGAAAUGCUUUCUGAUUGAUAUUACCCUUCGAGGAAGUCACGGCUAACUACGUGCCAGCAGCCGCGGUAAUACGUAGGUGGCGAGCGUUAUCCGGAUUGAUUGGGCGUAAAGGGUGCGUAGGCGGCCUGCUAAGUCUGGAGUGAAAGGUACCGGCUCAACCCCAUCCAGCCGUUGAAACUGGGGAUCUAGAGUGUGCGAGAGGUAUGCGGAAUGCGUGGUGUAGCGGUGAAAUGCAUAGAUAUCACGCAGAACCCCGAUUGCGAAGGCAGCAUACCGGUGCACAACUGACGCUCAGGCACGAAAGCGUGGGUAUCGAACAGGAUUAGAUACCCUUGUAGUC